AGAGAAGUAGUGCCCGUACCGCAAACCGACACAGGUAGAUGAGGAGAGAAUCCUAAGGCCGACGGAAGAAUCACAGUUAAGGAACUAGGCAAAUUGACCCCGUAACUUCGGGAGAAGGGGUGCCUACCAAUUGGUAGGCCGCAGAGAAUAGGCACAAGCAACUGUUUAACAAAAACACAGGUCUCUGCUAAAGCGUAAGCUGAUGUAUAGGGGCUGACGCCUGCCCGGUGCUGGAAGGUUAAGGGGAACACUUAGCGCAAGCGAAGGUGUGAACUUAAGCCCCAGUAAACGGCGGCCGUAACUAUAACGGUCCUAAGGUAGCGAAAUUCCUUGUCAGGUAAGUUCUGACCCGCACGAAUGGCGUAAUGACUUGUGCACUGUCUCAACUGUGAAUCCGGCGAAGUUGUAGUGCGAGUGAAGAUGCUCGCUACCCGCGAUUGGACGGAAAGACCCCGUAGAGCUUUACUGUAGCUUAGCAUUGAAUUUCGGUAUUGUCUGUACAGGAUAGGUGGGAGACUGGGAAAUCAGGGCGUCAGCCUUGAUGGAGUCGUUGUUGGGAUACCACCCUGAUAGUAUUGAAAUUCUAACUGGAUGCCAUGAAACUGGUGACAGGACAUUGUUAGGUGGGCAGUUUGACUGGGGCGGUCGCCUCCUAAAAUGUAACGGAGGCGCCCAAAGGUUCCCUCAGAACGGUCGGAAAUCGUUCGUAGAGUGCAAAGGCAGAAGGGAGCCUGACUGCGAGACCUACAAGUCGAGCAGGGACGAAAGUCGGGCUUAGUGAUCCGGUGGUACCUCGUGGGAGGGCCAUCGCUCAACGGAUAAAAGCUACCUCGGGGAUAACAGGCUGAUCUCCCCCAAGAGUCCACAUCGACGGGGAGGUUUGGCACCUCGAUGUCGGCUCAUCGCAUCCUGGGGCUGAAGUAGGUCCCAAGGGUUGGGCUGUUCGCCCAUUAAAGCGGUACGCGAGCUGGGUUCAGAACGU
rnacentral:rRNA from 1 species